ensembl:lncRNA
CGGGGUUGUGAUCAAUAAUUAAUGAUGGUUAUUUAAUAUUUGCUAAGUGCCAGUGCUGUGUUUGCCUCCAAAUCCCCCAGUGUACAUCUAGCCUUCCUCAGCAUCCCUCGGCUGCAUUUUUAUUCUGAUGUGGGUCACAAAAGAUUUCACAGGGAGAAUAUGUAAGAAAAAAGAAAGGGUAAUCCUUUGUACAGAAAGAACAGAACCAUCCCACUGCUGGAAAAUCAGCUGUAACUGGGGAGAAAAUUCUCCUUCCCAGCAGUGUGAUUUCAGGGCAGGCAGCUCCAUCAGCUCGAGAUGGCCAGAUCCAGGUUGGGAGCUGAUUUGGGAGUGCAUCUGUGCUGCUCCUCUGCCCCCAUGGAUUGGGGCUGAUUGCAGCAGGGCGGGGAAGAGUGAUGUGGCUGGAGAUUAAAAGAUGUGGAUAAUUUGGGUGCUGGGCAGGGCAGGCUCAUUGGUGCCUCUGCAGUGGUGUCAGUGCCGGGGGGCAGAAGGGACGGGAGGGCUCUGGUGUUCCUUUAUCCACGCAGAGGGAUGCAGGCACUAUUGCCAUGUGGUGGCUGGGGGCAGAACAAGGAAAAAACAACGUGUCACAGAGCAACAGCCAGAGCUGGGAGCAGAGCUGCAGGGCACUGGCAGUGCUCAGUGCUGGAGGAUGAAGCGGGAUGCAGCCUGCUCCAUGCCCGCCCCCAUAAAUCCUGCCUGCCCCAUUCAUCCCUCCCUCACUUUAGCUCUCACUCCUGCAGCUCAGUGCUGCCUUCGACCACGAGUUCCUGAGCGGGGCCGGCGUGUGAUGGAUGCGCAGCGUGGGCACAGGACGGAUGUGGGUUGGGUGUCAGUGUUAUUUGUUGCUGCCUGACUACAACAAAUCAAAUUUUUAAGCAAACUCUCAACGCUCCGUGGCCCUAUUGUUAUCUGGCUGCUGCUGGUGACUUGGACAAAUCACUUAAGCUUUGUGCUCGUGGUUUCUAUUUCGUGCCAGCCAGCUUUGUUAGCAUCCCAUCCCAGGCGUGUGUCACGCAGCGGUGGAGUUAAUCUCCUCUCUAUAGAGAGAGCAUUUGCUGUUCCCUGUGGAGGAUGCAUGCUGCUCUCUCUCCUUUGCUGCCCAGACUUCUUCUCCAAAUGUGCAGGGCGAGUGAGUAUCUCCAGCACUAGAUUAGAAGGCUGUUGCAGCGAGACAAUCCUUCUGCAACUAUUCUGCAACUAAAUUGUGUUUCCUGUGGAUGUGUUGCAGCACUGUGUUUUUAUGGCACGUGACCGUGAGCAGUCCGACUCUGUGCAGGAGUUCCCUGAAAUCUCUCCAUUAAGGGCAGGGGGUUUCUAUUUCCUUUGGCAGGGGAUUUGUUGAUGUUCCAUGAUGCUCACAGAGCUGGGAUGGAACUUGUAGGUGAGUGAUGUUGGAUUUCCCCAUCUCUUGCCUUCUUUGGAAGCUGUGUGCCACCAGCAGGCCCUGAGAUGGGACAUGCACCAACCAGCACCACAGGGUCCUGGAGCUGGGGGGCAACAUGGCCCCACCAUCCCAACCCCUGGUUAUUGCCCCUUCUUAAGACACAGAGUGGGACUUUGCCGUGAGACUUUGGGUGGUGUGGGGAGGGAUCAGAGUCUCGGGUUCUGAAUGGCCAACUCAUCCCUGCCAAGGAGGUGCUGUUAUAUGGUGGCUUCCUGCCAGGCACAGCCACCCCCCUCCAAGACAAUCACCAGCUUAGAUGCCACAAUGAGGAUACACUGCUAUUUUUAAUGUUUUGGGCUCUUAUUUUAUUUUUCCCUUGUUGCUGGAGCCCAUUGCCCACAAUGGCAUUUCUCCCCAGCCCAUUCCUGCUGCUUCUCCCAUCCCAUGAUUGCAGCCAUAAUUCUUCAUGGACAGAAGCUGACUUUAGCUCAAGUCUCCUUUGAUCACAGGGAGCCUUAUCUGGUCCCUGAGACAAAUGCAUCCUAGGGAGAUGGCAGAAAUUAGGUCAGUUCUGCACCACAGCUUCCCCUUCUGCUGUGCAGGGCUGCCGUCUUGCACCCACCAGCCUCCCCUCUGUGGCAGCUGGAGGCUGGCGUGGCUCUCUCCUUUAUCUCAGGGUUAUCAGCCAGCUGUGAAGCCCAGGGGCUGCCUCAAACCCCUCCUGCUCUGCUCACCACCCCAGGUUUGGUUACCCCAGUUGGUCCCCAUGCCACUCAUGCCACCCCUAAACAAAGGGAAGCAGGGCUUGGCUCAGCAGGCAGGAGCCCCCAGCAGCACGCAGUGCAGCUCCAACCUUUUGUGCAGCUCAUUAACAGCAAAUACUAAAGAGAAGGAGGGCAGAGGCAUUAUGGAGCAAUUUAUAUGUAAAUGUCUGAAGUAUCAAAUAAAAGCUAGCCCACUGGCAUUCAUUAGGAAAAAAAAAAAAGAAAAAACAUUAUUGAAUU